rnacentral:rRNA from 1 species
GAUGAACGCUGGCGGCGUGCCUAAUACAUGCCAGUCGAGCGAACAGACGAGGAGCUUGCUCCUCUGACGUUAGCGGCGGACGGGUGAGUAACACGUGGAUAACCUACCUAUAAGACUGGGAUAACUUCGGGAAACCGGAGCUAAUACCGGAUAAUAUAUUGAACCGCAUGGUUCAAUAGUGAAAGACGGUUUUGCUGUCACUUAUAGAUGGAUCCGCGCCGCAUUAGCUAGUUGGUAAGGUAACGGCUUACCAAGGCAACGAUGCGUAGCCGACCUGAGAGGGUGAUCGGCCACACUGGAACUGAGACACGGUCCAGACUCCUACGGGAGGCAGCAGUAGGGAAUCUUCCGCAAUGGGCGAAAGCCUGACGGAGCAACGCCGCGUGAGUGAUGAAGGUCUUAGGAUCGUAAAACUCUGUUAUUAGGGAAGAACAAAUGUGUAAGUAACUAUGCACGUCUUGACGGUACCUAAUCAGAAAGCCACGGCUAACUACGUG